UACGGAGGGGGCUAGCGUUGUUCGGAAUUACUGGGCUUAAAGCGCGCGUAGGCGGACUUCUAAGUCGGGGGUGAAAUCCCGGGGCUCAACCCCUGAACUGCCUUCGAUACUGGGAGUCUGGAGUUCGAGAGAGGUGAGUGGAAUUCCGAGUGUAGAGGUGAAAUUCGUAGAUAUUCGGAGGAACACCAGUGGCGAAGGCGGCUCACUGGCUCGAUACUGACACUGAGGUGCGAAAGCGUUGGGAGCAAACAGG
rnacentral:rRNA from 1 species